rnacentral:rRNA from 1 species
CACGUAGGGUGCGAGCGUUGUCCGGAAUUAUUGGGCGUAAAGAGCUCGUAGGCGGUGUGUCGCGUCGGCCGUGAAAACCUGCAGCUUAACUGUGGGCUUGCGGUCGAUACGGGCAGGCUAGAAUUCGGUAGGGGAGACUGGAAUUCCUGGUGUAGCGGUGAAAUGCGCAGAUAUCAGGAGGAACACCGGUGGCGAAGGCGGGUCUCUGGGCCGAUAUUGACGCUGAGGAGCGAAAGCGUGGGGAGCGAACAGG